ACGGGGUGCAGCAGGCGCGAACACUUUACAAUGCGGGAAACCGCGAUAAGGGAACCCCGAGUGCCAGCAUCAAAUGUUGGCUGUCCAGAUGAUUAAAAAUCAUUUGUUAGCAAGGGCCGGGCAAGAUCGGUGCCAGCCGCCGCGGUAACACCGGCGGCCCGAGUGGUAGCCGUUUUUAUUGGGUCUAAAGGGUCCGUAGCCGGCCUGAUAAGUCCUUUGGGAAAUCUGGCAGCUUAACUGUCAGGCUUCUAAGGGAUACUGUCAGGCUUGGGACCGGAAGAGGUAAGGGGUACUCCAGGGGUAGGAGUGAAAUCUUGUAAUCCCUGGGGGACCAUCUGUGGCGAAGGCGCCUUACCAGAACGGGUCCGACGGUGAGGGACGAAAGCUAGGGGAGCAAACCGGAUUAGAUACCCGGGUAGUCCUAGCUGUAAACGAUGCUCGCUAGGUGUCAGACACGGUGCGACCGUGUUUGGUGCCGCAGGAAGCCGUUAAGCGAGCCACCUGGAAGUACGUCGCAAGGC
rnacentral:rRNA from 1 species